rnacentral:rRNA from 1 species
UAGGGAAUAUUGGACAAUGGGGGCAACCCUGAUCCAGCCAUGCCGCGUGAGUGAAGAAGGCCCUCGGGUUGUAAAGCUCUUUUGUCCGGAAAGAAAAGCUUCGGGUUAAUACCCCGGGGUUCUGACGGUACCGGAAGAAUAAGCACCGGCUAACUUCGUGCCAACAGCCGCGGUAAUACGAAGGGUGCAAGCGUUACUCGGAAUUACUGGGCGUAAAGCGUGCGUAGGUGGUUGUUUAAGUCUGAUGUGAAAGCCCUGGGCUCAACCUGGGAAUGGCAUUGGAAACUGGGCAGCUAGAGUGCGGUAGAGGGUAGUGGAAUUCCCGGUGUAGCAGUGAAAUGCGUAGAGAUCGGGAGGAACACCAGUGGCGAAGGCGGCCAUCUGGACCAGUACUGACGCUGAGGCACGAAAGCGUGGGGAGCAAACA